rnacentral:rRNA from 1 species
UCGAGAAUUUUUCUCAAUGGGCGAAAGCCUGAAGGAGCGACGCCGCGUGGGGGAUGAAGGGCUUCGGUCCGUAAACCCCUGUCAUUUGCGAACAAACCUUUAUCAUGAACAAUGGUAAAGCUGAUUGUAGCGAAAGAGGAAGGGACGGCUAACUCUGUGCCAGCAGCCGCGGUAAUACAGAGGUCCCAAGCGUUGUUCGGAUUCACUGGGCGUAAAGGGUGCGCAGGUGGUUUGGCAAGUUUGACGUGAAAGCCCCGGGCUUAACCCGGGAAUGGCGUUGAAAACUGCUUGAACUGGAGGGUCGGAGGGGGGACUGGAAUUCUUGGUGUAGCAGUGAAAUGCGUAGAUAUCAAGAGGAACACCAGUGGCGAAGGCGAGUCCCUGGACGAUACCUGACACUGAGGCACGAAAGCCAAGGGAGCAAACAG